rnacentral:tRNA from 1 species
UGUGUAGUGUGUGAGAAGAGAGAUAUAGUGUGUAUAUUUAUAAAGAGAGUUUUUUCUCUUUAUACAA